GCCAUGUCUUCAGAGGGGGAGGGUCCAGCUGGUGACCGUCUGUCAGAGGCUGCAAAGGCUGAGUGGAUGGCUGCUCAGAAGGACGGCGGAAUAGAUGGUCUGGAUGAAGAGGAUGAUGAGGAAGAUGGGGACACGGACAGUUUGAUGGAGUGGUGGUACACAGUGGAGCAAUGGGACGAGCUGCCGUCAGACGAAGAAGAUGCAAAAGUCAA